GCUUUACUCUUAGCACUUAGUACUACUUGGCAUAAUGUGUGUGUGUGUAUGUGUGUGUGUGUGUGUGUAUUAUCAGACUUUUCUUACUAGAAUGUCUAUUUGACAAAAGAAGUCUGUUUACUACUGUAUUAGUGACACAGUAGCCUGUUGAUAAAUAUUUGUCCAGUGACUGCCUGACCAGCUGAAGAAUUUACAUACUUCUUCUCAGAGGCGUUGGUAGUUGGCCACUGGUACUCCAUAUUCUGAAACUGUGAAACAGUCUUAGUCCGAGUUCCUUCCAACGCAGAAUCUCAGACAAAGACCGUGUAUAGGUAACCUACUUGGAAUGAGAUGUUGGGGGCAAGAGUGAGGGAUGGGGGGGCUAAGUGGUGAAGGAGAGAAAGCCAUUGUAAGGGUGAUUUAACCACUGUUGCCAGCAUCUCAUGGUAUGGUCCCACAGAACCUUCUGAGUAAGGUCCCUCUCCAACUGGUUCCGGGCGGUCUCCUGGGGUGUUAACUCUCCUGGACUUCUAGGUUGUUUACGUUCGAGUGCCAAGUGAGUGCCAAGCGGGAAACUAAGAGUUCUGCACGAUGGCAUCAGACACGGUCUGAGGUGGAAAGCCAGAAGCGCACGGCACGGGCCAAAGUGGGGUGCUGUCACGUUACGCACGCACAGACUUGGUUGAAGCCCGGAACUCAUUGCUGCAGCGGUGGAUGGAAUAAGAGAGCUUCAGACUGCAUUGCAAUGAUUUGCCUCCUUUUGCAAGAGCAAGAAACCAGCCCAUGUUAGCAGUCAACAAGUGUUUGUUCCUUACUGGACGGGAACUAUGCUGGCGUCCUUCAAACGAACUGUCUUAUGUGAUCUUUGCAACAACCCUUUUAUUCUCAUUGCGUGUUUGAGAACCUCAGGCUAAGAGAGCAUGCGAUACACGUGAGAAUGUCUUCAAAACCUGACACGUAAUCUACACAUAGCACAUCUUAAUUGGGAUCUUAAACUUGCAUCAGGAGUGCUUGGUGUGUAUUUAGAUUUUGCAGGAUCUGCCAUUGAAAAAAGUAAGUUCACACGUGCGGGUAAGUUUAAUCCGUACUUAAAAGUGUUUCCAGUAAUAGAAGCGGUUCCUAAAAAGUCAUUUUCCUUUAAUAUUUGCAUCCAUUUGACAAAUUGGCUUAUUGUUUUUAGAACUGAUCUGACAUAGUUUUAAAACUGAGUUGAGUGAAUUCACCAACUCUUGUGUCAACUCAGUAUUACUGCCAUCAAAUUCGAAGUGGUAUUGUGUAAAAUGAAAAGCCCCUUUAAAUUUAUUAAAAUUAACAUAGCAUUAUUCAUGUUUUUCUUUUA